CUUGCCGGUGACCAUACCCGAUUGGAAACACCCGUUCCCAUUCCGAACACGGCAGUGAAACGCUCGGGGCCGAUGGUAGUGCGUCCAGCGCGAGAGUAGGUAUCGCCGGCUCUU
rnacentral:rRNA from 1 species